rnacentral:rRNA from 1 species
CAGCCGCCGCGGUAAUACGAAGGGUGCAAGCGUUACUCGGAAUUACUGGGCGUAAAGCGUGCGUAGGUGGUGGUUUAAGUCCGUUGUGAAAGCCCUGGGCUCAACCUGGGAAUUGCAGUGGAUACUGGGUCACUAGAGUGUGGUAGAGGAUAGUGGAAUUUCCGGUGUAGCAGUGAAAUGCGUAGAGAUCGGAAGGAACAUCUGUGGCGAAGGCGACUAUCUGGGCCAACACUGACACUGAGGCACGAAAGCGUGGGGAGCAAACAGGAUUAGAUACCCCUGUAGUCCCUGUCUCUUAUAU